GUGGAUUAGAUACCCUGGUAGUCCACGCCGUAAACGAUGAUCACUCGCUGUUGGCGAUACACAGUCAGCGGCUAAGCAAAAGCAUUAAGUGAUCCACCUGGGGAGUACGGCCGCAAGGCUGAAACUCAAAGGAAUUGACGGGGGCCCGCACAAGCGGAGGAACAUGUGGUUUAAUUCGAUGAUACGCGAGGAACCUUACCUGGGCUUAAAUGCAGAGUGCAUGAUUUAGAAAUAGAUCUUUCCUUCGGGACUCUUUGCAAGGUGCUGCACGGUUGUCGUCAACU
rnacentral:rRNA from 1 species